AGAAACUCACGGAGCAUUAUAGUACACUGGUCACUUUGAUUUUUUCGAUAUUUUAAUAAGUAUUAAAAGACCCCAUCAAAUCAAAUACAUAUAUAAUAUAAUUGCAGCACAGAUUUAGAGAGAGAAAGCGAAAUAGGUAGUGUGUAGACGAAGGAGAAGAGAGAUCACAUCACAUGUGGUGAAGAGUAAUUGUACAAAGAACAUUCUUUUGUUUUUGGGGUCAGCCAUGGAUGUUCCAUUGCCACUGCAAAGACCAUUGAGUUACAGCAAUAGUGUCUCCACUGAAAGAACCCACCUCAACAUCAAACCUUUUCUUGGUUUUGUCCCUCAUGGAACCACAUGUCUAUCCGUACAAUCUUCUUCGUGGAGGAACGAUGGAAUGGUUGCUGGAGUUUCAUAUCCAUUUUGUGCAAAUUUCUCCAGAAGAAGACAGAGAAAACUUUCAACUCCUAGGAGUCAAGGCUCUUCACCAAAGGGGUUUGUGCCAAGGACGCCUUCAGGGAUGAGCACACAAAGAAGGGAUCAGAAGAGCAACGGUGAUAAAGAAAGUCAAAGUACUUCAUCAUCCAAAGAAUCAGAAAUUUCCAACCCCAAGACGUUUGAAGCAAAAGUUGAAACUAGUGAUGAUGGCACUAAACAAGUGGGAAGGGACCGCAAGUCUCAGGAGGAGGAGGAUGAAUUCAAUGGUGCCACUAAAUCAGUAAGUCUAUCACCUGUUCGUGGAUCAACUCAAUUUGUUGGAAGUGGAGAAACUGGUGACAAUGACGUGGGUGCUGUAAAUUUUAAUAAAUCAAAUAGAACGGAAGAGAGUGAUUUUCAAAUUGAUUCUGUAAUAAGAGAACAAAGUGGAGGUGAUUACUCCGAAAAUAUUCAGGGGAAAACUAGCAAGGGCAGCCUCGCUUUGGGUACACCACUUUCUGAAAUAUUGCAGCUAGAUAUUGAUGGAGGUUAUAAAGUUGAACAAUACAAUCAUGAUGAGUUGGAUGAGACACAAAAACUGAAAGAAAAUGAUGCUGGGAAUGUUGAAGACAAAAGACCCUUAGCAAGAGAGCUGUUGGAAAUGACUAAGCCUAGCAAUGUGGAAUUUACUGAAAGCAAUGAGAUCACUGAAGUAGACAGUAAUAGUUUCUUAAAACCAGAUUCAGUUGACGAGAGUGAGCCAUCAACUGUAGGAACAUUAGAGACUGAAGAUAUUUCUCUGAAGUUAAGAUUGGAGAUGGAAGCGAAUCUACGUAGGCAGGCUAUAAAAAGGCUUGCCGAGGAAAAUUUAUUGCAAGGAAUCAGAUUAUUUUGUUUCCCAGAGGUUGUAAAACCCAAUGAAGAUGUCGAAAUAUUCCUUAACAGGAGUCUUUCCACUUUGAAUAAUGAACCUGAUCUCUUGAUUAUGGGAGCUUUUAAUGACUGGCGGUGGAGAUCUUUUACUACAACACUAACUGAGACUCAUCUCAGUGGAGAUUGGUGGUCUUGCAAGAUCCACGUUCCGAAGGAAGCAUACAAGAUUGAUUUUGUGUUUUUUAAUGGAAAGGAUGUCUAUGACAACAAUGAUAAUAAUGAUUUCAGUAUAACUGUGGAAGGUGGUAUGCAAAUUCUUGAUUUUGAAAAUUUCUUGCUCGAGGAGAAACGGAGAGAACAGGAGAAACUUGCUAAAGAACAAGCUGAAAGAGAAAGACUAGCAGAAGAACAAAGGCGAAUAGAAGCAGAGAAAGCUGCACUUGAAGCUGAUAGAUCACAGGCAAAGGAAGAGGCUGCAAAGAAAAGGGAAGUAUUGCAAGCACUGAUGGCAAAAGCCUCGAAGACUCGUGAUAUCACCUGGUAUAUCGAACCAAGUGUAUUUAAAUGUGAGGAGAAGGUCAAGUUAUACUAUGACAAAAGUUCAGGUCCUCUCUCCCAUGCUAAGGACUUGUGGAUCCAUGGAGGAUAUAACAACUGGAAGGAUGGUUUGUCUAUCGUUGAAAAGCUUGUUAAAUCUGAGAGAAUAGAUGGUGAUUGGUGGUAUACAGAGGUUGUCAUCCCUGAUCGGGCACUUGUCUUGGAUUGGGUUUUUGCUGAUGGUCCACCCAAGCAUGCCAUUGCAUAUGAUAACAAUCAUCGCCAAGACUUCCAUGCCAUUGUCCCCAAGCACAUUCCGGAGGAAUUAUAUUGGGUUGAGGAAGAACUUCAGAUCUUCAAGACACUUCAGGAGGAGAGAAGGCUUAGAGAAGAGGCUAUGCGUGCUAAGGCUGAAAAAGCAGCACGUAUGAAAGCUGAAACAAAGGAAAGGACUAUGAAAUCAUUCUUAUUGUCUCAGAAGCAUAUAGUGUACACUGAGCCUCUUGAUGUCCAAGCUGGAAGCAGCGUCACAGUUUACUAUAAUCCCGCCAAUACAGUACUUAAUGGUAAACCUGAAAUUUGGUUCAGAUGUUCAUUCAAUCGUUGGACUCACCGCCUGGGUCCAUUGCCGCCUCAAAAAAUGUUGCCUACUGAAAAUGGAACCCAUGUCAAAGCAACUGUGAAGGUUCCAUUGGAUGCACAUAUGAUGGAUUUUGUAUUCUCUGAGAGAGAAGAUGGUGGAAUUUUUGACAAUAGAAGUGGAAUGGACUAUCACAUACCUGUGUUUGGAGGAGUCGCAAAAGAACCUCCGAUGCAUAUUGUUCAUAUUGCUGUCGAAAUGGCACCUAUUGCAAAGGUGGGAGGCCUUGGUGAUGUUGUUACUAGUCUUUCCCGUGCAGUUCAAGAUUUAAACCAUAAUGUGGAUAUCAUCUUACCUAAGUAUGACUGUUUGAAGAUGAAUCAGGUGAAGGACUUUCAGUUUCACAAAAGCUACUUUUGGGGUGGGACUGAAAUAAAAGUAUGGUUUGGGAAGGUGGAAGGUGUCUCCGUCUACUUUUUGGAGCCUCAAAACGGGUUAUUUUGGAAGGGGUGUGUAUAUGGUUGUAAUAAUGAUGGUGAAAGAUUUGGUUUCUUUUGUCACGCGGCUUUGGAGUUUCUUCUGCAAGGUGGAUUUCAUCCGGAUAUCAUCCAUUGCCAUGAUUGGUCUAGUGCUCCCGUUGCGUGGCUCUUUAAGGAACAAUAUACACACUAUGGUCUAAGCAAGUCUCGAAUUGUCUUCACAAUACACAAUCUUGAAUUUGGUGCAGAUCUCAUUGGGAAAGCAAUGACUUAUGCAGACAAAGCUACAACAGUUUCCCCAACUUACUCAAGGGAGGUGUCUGGAAACCCUGUAAUUGCACCUCACCUUUACAAGUUCCAUGGUAUAGUGAACGGGAUUGACCCAGAUAUUUGGGACCCGUUGAACGAUAAGUUCAUUCCGAUUUCAUACACCUCGGAAAAUGUUGUUGAAGGCAAAACAGCAGCCAAGGAAGCUUUGCAGCAAAAACUUGGACUGAAACAGGCCGACCUUCCUUUGGUAGGAAUAAUCACCCGCUUAACUCACCAGAAAGGAAUCCACCUCAUCAAACAUGCUAUUUGGCGCACCCUGGAACGGAAUGGACAGGUGGUCUUGCUUGGUUCUGCUCCUGAUCCUAGGAUACAAAAUGAUUUUGUUAAUUUGGCAAAUCAAUUGCACUCCACAUAUAAUGACCGUGCACGGCUCUGUCUAACAUACGAUGAGCCACUUUCUCACCUGAUAUAUGCUGGUGCUGAUUUCAUUCUAGUCCCUUCAAUAUUUGAGCCAUGUGGACUAACACAACUUACGGCGAUGAGAUAUGGUUCAAUUCCAAUUGUGCGUAAAACUGGAGGACUUUAUGAUACUGUAUUUGAUGUUGACCAUGACAAAGAGAGAGCACAACAGUGUGGUCUUGAACCAAAUGGAUUCAGCUUUGAUGGAGCUGAUGCUGCCGGAGUUGAUUAUGCUCUGAAUAGAGCUCUGUCUGCUUGGUAUGAUGGUCGGGAUUGGUUCAACUCUUUAUGCAAGCAGGUCAUGGAACAAGAUUGGUCUUGGAACCGACCUGCUCUUGAUUAUUUGGAGCUUUACCAUGCUGCUAGAAAGUUAGAAUAGUUAGUUUGUGAGAUACUAGCAGAAAGAUUCACGAGAUCUGCAAUCUGUACAGUUUUAGAAGAAAUGAGAAAUCAAAGGAUGCAAAUACUCUCAUUGGCUCUUCAAGAUUGAACUUUGGAUCCUAAAUCCAUACUACAUUACUCAAACAGGUUUUCGGAGGGUCGGCUGUUUUGUUCUGGUAUUAUGUGGUUAUUGGAGGGUAAAAGGAGCUUUACAAUGUCUUUUGCAAUUUUCUUGCUUUAAAAUAUCCACCAUAUCUAUAUCCUGAUUUUCUUAAUAACUUAUGAGAGUUUGAAAAGAAUUACUCCUUGUUUUUCUCGAAGCCUAAGAUCAAAGAGGUAAUCAUCAUUUGGUGACACCUUGAUUUUUAUUUGCCCAA